GAAAGACGUGAUAUCACAGCUAACAGCAUAAGCACCCCACAGAAAUGAACAUCUUUGGAGAGACGUGUGGUGUGCAGUAACUCACACAAACUACAAUGUGCUGCACUCACGAGAGGACCACAGUUUACUUGACCUGUCAAACAUGUUAAAUAACUUCUGUUGUCACUAUUUAUUUCUCCCAGGACUACAUUUAAAUUUUGACACCAUCAGCAGUGGCUGGGAUAACCAUUCACUCAGAACUGAGGGGAAUCUAACACUCAGUAAUGGGAAAUGGGAAAAAUCCAGCAUUCUGUCAUAGAACCAGAAAUCACAGAGGGACUCUGCCUGCCUCAUAUUGACUGGGACGACAGUGGACUCCUUGAUGACCCACACUAUGGGGUCACUAUUCCUGAAACUGGCAAUGUGUUGAGCCCCGAACAACUGGUAGCACUGAGGGCAGCCAUGGAUGCGUUGGGACAUUCUGAAUCAUAUGGCUCAGAUAUAUAUGUUGUUACUGUCCAGUAUGACCAACACUUUACGAGUUUAAUCUUAUUGUGGUUACCAUUGUUGCAAAAGGUUUUCAAGUAGUAAAAUCCCGCCAGGAAAAUGUAACUAAGUUAGUGUGUUUACUGAAUAAAAAUGUAGAAUUGCUGGGAUUGUGAUAGUAAAUGUGUAUGGUACUGUAUAAACCUUUUGAAAAUGCUGAGGUUAUUGGAAAAAAGGGGCACAUGGGGCUGUUACUAAAACUGAGGAUGCAAACAUUGUGGGAAAAUUAAACAGUCCUUUAUUUUCCACAUUGCAUAAUAAACAUACCCUUUGAUAAAGUCUUUAUUUCCAAUGUUUAGCAAUAUCAAUCAAAGUCUAUACACCUUUUACACAUGGAUUGCUUUUAUUGUUGAAAUUAAGACUGAAAGAACUCCAUUAAUUCUCCAGGUUUUUCCCCACUAAA